rnacentral:rRNA from 1 species
CCCGGGUCUUGUACACACCGCCCGUCACACCAUGGGAGCGGGUUCUGCCAAAAGUAGUUAGCCUAACCGCAAGGAGGGCGAUUACCACGGCAGGGUUCGUGACUGGGGUG